rnacentral:rRNA from 1 species
GAUGAACGCUAGCGGCAGGCCUAACACAUGCAAGUCGAGGGGCAGCACAGAAACAGCAAUGUUUUGGUGGCGACCGGCGGACGGGUGCGUAACGCGUAUGCAACCUACCUUUAACAGGGGGAUAACGGAGAGAAAUUUCCACUAAUACCCCAUAACAUCGAUCAAGGCAUCUUGAUUGGUUGAAAACUCCGGUGGUUAAAGAUGGGCAUGCGUUGUAUUAGGUAGUUGGUGAGGUAAUGGCUCACCAAGCCUACGAUACAUAGGGGGACUGAGAGGUUAGCCCCCCACACUGGAACUGAGACACGGACCAGACUCCUACGGGAGGCAGCAGUGAGGAAUAUUGGUCAAUGGGGGCAACCUUGAACCAUCCAUGCCGCGUGCAGGAAGACGGCUCUAUGAGUUGUAAACUGCUUUUAAACAGGGAUAAAGCACAGUAUGUAUACUGUGUUGAAGGUACUGUAAGAAUAAGGAUCGGCUAACUCCGUGCCAGCCGCCGCCGUAA